GCGGGUGUGGUGGAAUAGGCAGACACAAGGGACUUAAAAUCCCUCGGACUUAUCAUCCGUGCCGGUUCAAGUCCGGCCACCCGCA
rnacentral:tRNA from 9 species